AUCACAUAAAUUGGCUUUACUUUCUUUUGGAAGUCUAUCAUAGGGCUAACAUUUUAAAAUAACUUUUAAAAACUUGCCUUUGAGAUCUGACACGUACAUCCUGUCUUGAGGACAUACUUUGUGCUUCUUAUGUGAAGUUAUCAGUGCCUUAGGAAGUGGGGGCUGCUGAUUUGUUUCUUGCAGGCCUUUUGGCAACACCCCAAGGAGAUAAUGAAGCAAGGAGGUUCCUGUCUUGGUUUCUACAAUGUACUCAAUCUUGGUAACUCUGGGCAGUCACAAAGGAUACUAAUAAACUGUGUAUUUGGGGGCUAUCCUGUCUGCAAGUAAGACUCCCCAAAGUGUACAUCUAAACUCUAGGAGAAGGAAGCAUCUGCAAUGUGGCCUCAGAGUGCAAGGUGCUUUCUGCUCAGAGAAGCUUACUGCACCCUGUGGCUGAAGUCUCAGGGUUGAUCUAGGAUCCAUGGAAAAUUUUCAGAUCAUUGAAAUCAUGGCAGCUUCUUCCCCCAACACUGACAUUUAAUGGUAACAUAAAACCAGGGAGUUUAAGUGCUAGAGGAAGCCAUGAAGAUAUUCAAAAAUAUGAAUCUUUAUUUUACUUGUACAAUAUAUUCUUCUAUUAGAAAUUAUGUAAAAUAUCAAAAAUUUAAAAAU
rnacentral:lncRNA from 1 species